rnacentral:miRNA from 1 species
AGCCUCAUUGGCCGGAAGGGAUUCCUUCUGGUUGAUGAGGUUGUUAUACCUCAUCAACAGGAAGGAAUCCCUUCCGGCCGAUGAAGUU